rnacentral:rRNA from 1 species
CCCGCUGAACUUAAGCAUAUCAAUAAGCGGAGGAAAAGAAACUAACAAGGAUUCCCCUAGUAACUGCGAGUGAAGCGGGAAGAGCUCAAAUUUGAAAUCUGGCGGUCCCUUGGGCCGUCCGAGUUGUAAUCUAGAGAAGUGCUACCUGUGCUGGACCGUGUACAAGUCUCCUGGAAUGGAGCAUCACAGAGGGUGAGAAUCCCGUCUUUGACACGGACUGCCAUGUGCGAUAUGGUGCGCUCUCGAAGAGUCGAGUUGUUUGGGAAUGCAGCUCAAAACGGGUGGUAAAUGCAUCUAAAGCUAAAUAUUGGGCGAGAGACGAUAGCGACCAGGUACCGUGAGGAAAGAUGAAAAGACUUUGGAAAAGAGUUAAACAGUACGUGAAAUUGCUGAAAGGGAAACGCUUGAAGUCAGUCGCGUCAGCUGGAAAUCAGUCUUGCUUCUGCUUGACGUACUUUCUGGUUCGACGGGUCAGCAUCAGUUUUGACCGCCGGAUAAGGUCGUUGGGAAUGUGGCAUCUUCAUGAUGUGUUAUAGCCCGUCGUCGCAUACGGUAGUCGGGAUUGAGGAACUCAGCACGCCGCGAGGCCGGGUCGUUUCGACCACGUUCGUGCUUAGGAUGCUGGCAUAAUGGCUUUAAUCGACCCGUCUUGAAACACGG